GCAUGUGGUUUAAUUCGAAGCAACGCGCAGAACCUUACCAUCCUUUGACAUGGCGUGUUACCCAGAGAGAUUUGGGGUCCACUUCGGUGGCGCGCACACAGGUGCUGCAUGGCUGUCGUCAGCUCGUGUCGUGAGAUGUUGGGUUAAGUCCCGCAACGAGCGCAACCCACGUCCUUAGUUGCCAUCAUUCAGUUGGGCACUCUAGGGAGACUGCCGGUGAUAAGCCGCGAGGAAGGUGUGGAUGACGUCAAGUCCUCAUGGCCCUUACGGGAUGGGCUACACACGUGCUACAAUGGCGGUGACAGUGGGACGUGAAGGAGCGAUCUGGAGCAAAUCCCCAAAAGCCGUCUCAGUUCGGAUUGCACUCUGCAACUCGAGUGCAUGAAGGCGGAAUCGCUAGUAAUCGUGGAUCAGCAUGCCACGGUGAAUACGUUCCCGGGCCUU
rnacentral:rRNA from 1 species